UACAGAGGGUGCAAGCGUUAAUCGGAUUUACUGGGCGUAAAGCGCGCGUAGGUGGCCAAUUAAGUCAAAUGUGAAAUCCCCGAGCUUAACUUGGGAAUUGCAUUCGAUACUGGUUGGCUAGAGUAUGGGAGAGGAUGGUAGAAUUCCAGGUGUAGCGAUGAAAUGCGUAGAGAUCUGGAGGAAUACCGAUGGCGAAGGCAGCCAUCUGGCCUAAUACUGACACUGAGGUGCGAAAGCAUGGGGAGCAAACAGG
rnacentral:rRNA from 1 species